CUUUGUGGUAUGAAAAAGCGGUCACCAUUAGGGUCUGGGGACCCCAAGCCUUUUCGUGUGGCUAUUUGAGAAGGUAAAGCCUCUCUGGCCUUGUGCUGGCACUCCCUCGUCAGGCCCAGAGCACGGGGUGUUCAUGACAGAAGUGUGCAUCUGUGUCAUCUCCCGACAAGGACUGUCACUUCCUUGGGGGAGAGACCGUCUCUGUAGGGGAGGCUCCCCUGCAGAAGCUGACAUUGUGGGUAUCCAAGGUUUUCUUCCCUUGCUACGAGGAAGAAAGGUUCUCUGAUGAUUCUUCUCUGCUCUCGGAGAUGGACAAACGCAUCUUCAUUGACCUUCUGAAAUGGUAGCCUUGUCUGGAGCCAAGUCAUACUCGGGGGUCAGCGGGGCCGAGAGGAGAAUGCCCAGGAUGAACCCAGGGUCCUCCUGUGUCUCCCGCCCGCAGAAAUGAGGGCCACAGAGAGGGCGCUUCCCCGGCCAUUGACAGGGGCGGGAUAGGGAAGCACACGUCCCUCUGGUUAUAAGAGAGGCAAGUAGGUAACCCAAGCUCUGGGCAAGGUGCUUUGGAGAUGUGAGUGAGGCAUGGCACGCCUCACUGUCUCCAACCUUCCAUUCCCUCGCCUUGUGGGGCUACUGCCUGACCCUGGAGUCCCAGGGUUGGAGGAACCUUUGCAUUCAUCUGACUUCUCGCUUUGCAGAGUAAGUCAAAUGGGGAGGUAUGGGUGACGCUUACUGCUCUCGCCAACCCAUCCUGAAGGAGAUGCCUCCUGCCCGCGUCCUGGCACCCCAGGGAAGUGUCAGAAAUUUCCAGAGACACGAACAUAAAAAAUACAUCCCAGACGUGGGUGUCAGGGACUGUCGGUCACUCUGGCAUGACAAAGCAAAGGUGUCAGGGUCAAGUUUCUGUACUCUUUAAGACCGGUUGGCUAGUUCCUCCUGUCUUAACGACUCUGAAAUCGAUAAUGGACAGGUUACCGCUUAGCUUAGGCUGACCCCCAUUGAUUUUUUUGUUACCAUCGCAAGUACCUGAGAUGUUAUUUCUUGAGCUUAUUUUAUUUUAGCUUUGAUUCUUUACAAGAUCAUCAGGGCUCUAGGCAUGGGUCUUUGGAAACUUGCAAGAAAUGCGAGGACCAUCGCUGCUGACUUGCCUUAGAAGCUUGGGAUGUAGGAAACGGGUGUUUGGUGUUCUUUCUUGCAGCUCCGUGUGUGUAGACAGGGUUACCCAUCACACCGGCGUGAGCGAAUGAGAUGCCCGGGGCCUGUGUCCCCCAGGCCCCACCCGGCUGCUCCCAGAUGUUGAGAUGUCAGCAGACCUAUAGCCCAUUUGAGACUGGCCGUGGGUGAGAAUUCCUGAUAGGAUAUCCCUCUGGGCUUUGCUUCAGGAUAACCCGAGGAUGGGUGUAGGGAGAAGGGGUGGGGUAUGAAUGGAAGGAUGAGCCACAAGCCGGUAAUCAAUGAAACGGUUACGGGAUGGGAUAGUUCAUGAAGAUAUUCUUUCCACUGUUGCAUAUUUUGAAAAUUUUCAUGAUAAAAAGUUUUAAGAAUGAAACAAAGCAUAGCUCAGGCCAGUGAUAGGCCCUGUCGGGUGAUUUUAUCCUAGUUCGCAGGGGUAUGAGUUGUGGGUUUGAGGUUGUUAUAUCAAGUCAUCUCUUAUCUGUGGGGUAUGUACAUAUGAUAAAGUUUCAUUUAUAAAAUUAGGCACAGUAAGGGGAUUAGCAAUAAUAACAUAAUGAAAGAGGCCAGUUAUAACAAUAUUCUGUAAUGAAAGUUAUAUGAAUGUGCUUUCCCUCUCUCUUUCUCAAGUAUCUAUCUGAUAACCAACCUGGUAACUGAGAAGGCUACUAAGUGGUGAAGGGAUGGCUUACCUACCCAGGUGGGAUGGGGUGGGACUUCAUCAUGCUACUCAGAACUGUGCACAAUAUAAUACUUAUGAAUUGGUUGUUUCCGGAAUUUUCCAUUUAAUAUUUUCAGACCACCACUGGCCAUGGCUAACUGAAGCUGUGGAAGUGAAACCAUGGAUAAGGGGAGACUAUUAUAAUAAAGAAUUUGACUGGCCUUUGUCCCUGGUUUCCAGAGGGGAAAUUCUGAAUCCUUGGCAUUUCCCCAGGAAGAGGAGUGUCUGUCAUUCACAGCCCCUUGGGUCAAGCCUGCGUUUAUGCUAGUUGAGAUGACCCAGGAUGGGGCCUGGUCAUCAGAAAGGCCAACCAUGAGUUUAGAAGGUUGGGACUUGGAGCCCGCCUGACCUCCACGAGGCGAGAGGGCCAGGAGAUGGAUUCAAUCAGUUAUGCCUUUGUAAUGAAACUCCGAAAAAAAACCUCUGGACACUGAAGCUCUGCUGAACACAGCCACACAUCCCGGUUCCACGGCCGUGGGGAGGGUGGAGGGUUCAGAAGCUCUGCACUUGGGUCCCUCCGAGACGGCACUCUGGGUGUCUUCCUUUGGCUGGUCUUGAUUUGUAUUGUUGAUAAGCAAACUAAUCGUUAAGUGGAGCCCUUUUCUGAGCUUUGUGAGUCCCAGUGAAUCAUCCAACCUGAAGGGGGUCGUGUGCUAUACACUGGAUGCUUGUGUAGCCCCAAGAGCCAGAUGUUGAAACCUAACCCCCAAUGUGAUGGAAAUGGAGGUGAUUAGGUCCUGAGGGUGGAGCCCUCUUGGCUGGGAUUAGUGCCCUUCAUA